rnacentral:rRNA from 1 species
UUGAAACACAUUUUCUCAUAUGAUCUCUGAAGUUAAGCAACAUUGAGCCUGGUUAGUACCUAGGUGGGUGACCGCUUAGGAAUACCAGGUACUGUAAG